GACAGAGGGUGCAAACGUUGUUCGGAAUUACUGGGCGUAAAGCGCAUGUAGGCGGCUCUGUAGGUCGGAUGUGAAAUCCCUCGGCUCAACCAAGGAAGUGCAUUCGAAACCACAGAGCUAGAGUCCCGGAGAGGAAGGUGGAAUUCUCGGUGUAGAGGUGAAAUUCGUAGAUAUCGAGAGGAACACCGGUGGCGAAAGCGGCCUUCUGGACGAGGACUGACGCUGAGAUGCGAAAGCGUGGGGAGCAAACAGG
rnacentral:rRNA from 1 species